rnacentral:rRNA from 1 species
UACAGAGGUGCCAAGCGUUAGGCGGAAUCACUGGGCUUAAAGCGCGUGUAGGCGGGUCGUUAAGUGUCUUGUGAAAUCCCACGGCUCAACCGUGGAACUGCUGGGCAUACUGACGAUCUUGAGGCACUCAGGGGCUGUCGGAACAAAUGGUGGAGCGGUGAAAUGCGUAGAUAUCAUUUGGAACGCCAACGGUGAAAACAGACAGCUGGGGGUGUCCUGACGCUGAGACGCGAAAGCCAGGGGAGCGAGCGGG